GUGCCAGCCGCCGCGGUAAUACGUAGGGUGCAAGCGUUAAUCGGAAUUACUGGGCGUAAAGCGUGCGCAGGCGGUUUUGUAAGUCUGUCGUGAAAGCCCCGGGCUUAACCUGGGAAUUGCGAUGGAGACUGCAAGGCUUGAAUCUGGCAGAGGGGGGUAGAAUUCCACGUGUAGCAGUGAAAUGCGUAGAGAUGUGGAGGAACACCGAUGGCGAAGGCAGCCCCCUGGGUCAAGAUUGACGCUCAUGCACGAAAGCGUGGGGAGCAAACAGGAUUAG
rnacentral:rRNA from 1 species